GUUUCUGUAGUGUAGUGGUUAUCAUGUUUGUUCACACGCUAAAGGUCCCUGGUUUGAAACCAGGCGGAAACA
rnacentral:tRNA from 1 species